rnacentral:snoRNA from 1 species
ACCCUCCACAUUCCUUACCCAGCAGAUCUAAAUAUUAGUCUGAGUGGUUACAACAGAAGGAAGAGUAAAACUGAAGUGGACCUGGCCUCUUUAGUGACAUACAAGUUAAUAUUUUUUAACAUGG